rnacentral:rRNA from 1 species
GACGAACGCUGGCGGCGUGGAUUAGGCAUGCAAGUCGAACGGUAGGAUCCUUUCGGGGAUCUGAGAGUGGCGAACGGGUGAGUAACACGUAGGUGAUCUACCCUCAAGACGGGGACAACCCAGGGAAACUUGGGCUAAUACCGGAUGUGAGCAACCUUAGGGUUGUUUGAAAGGUGGCUUCGGCUGCCGCUUGAGGAUGAGCCUGCGUCCUAUUAGCUAGUUGGUGAGGUAACGGCUCACCAAGGCAGUGAUAGGUAGGCGGCCUUAACGGGUGGUCGCCCACACUGGGAUUGAGAUACGGCCCAGACUCCUACGGGAGGCAG